rnacentral:lncRNA from 1 species
AAGACUCAGAUUAUAGAAACAUCAUGUUCCUUACCUUCACCAGGGCUAAAUGUGUCAUUCUCUGCUCAUCCUGAAAACAAUGAAUUGAUCCUUUUUGGAGGUGGAUAUUUUAAUAGCAAAAAAAAAAAAAAAAAAAAAAACUUGCUUAUAUAACCACCUCUAUAUCUACAAUACCAGAAAAGACACCUGGAUUAAAGUCAAAAUUCCCAAUGCACUUCUGGAGCACUGUGCUUUCCAGGCUGUGGUGGUGCAUUGAUAUGACAGACAGGUUAUGAGCAUUUGCAGGGGAGCUUGCUUCUCCUGAUGGACAGCAGUUCUACGACUACAAGGAUCUCUGUGUCCUGCAUCUGGCCACCAAAACCUGGAAACUAGUUGAAUCAACAGGGGCUUGUUUAGAUCACAGUGGACAGCAGACAGUAGCCUGGAAGACACAGCUAAUUCUUUUUGGUGGUUUUCAUGAGA